CAGUAGCCGCGGUAAUACGAAGGGUGCAAGCGUUAAUCGGAAUUACUGGGCGUAAAGCGUGCGUAGGCGGUGAGUUAAGUCUGCUGUGAAAUCCCCGGGCUCAACCUGGGAAUGGCAGUGGAUACUGGCUCGCUAGAGUGUGUCAGAGGAUGGUGGAAUUCCCGGUGUAGCGGUGAAAUGCGUAGAGAUCGGGAGGAAUACCGAUGGCGAAGGCAGCCAUCUGGCCUAAUACUGACGCUGAGGUACGAAAGCAUGGGGAGCAAACAGGAUUAGAUACCCCUGUAGUCCCUGUCUCUUAUAC
rnacentral:rRNA from 1 species